rnacentral:lncRNA from 1 species
CCAAAUUUCAUGUGUCGACAUCUUUGAAAGGCGAAUGUGGAGAAAGAAAUUUUGUGCCCUGACAUUUGGUUCGACACUGGGCGCACCUUGAAUUAGGAAAAAAUGGCAGUUUUGGCUAUCUGACAUUUGGUGUCGACACCUUGAACAGGAAAUUCAAAAAUUUUGAGAUACUGACAUUUAAGGUUGUGUCGACACCUAAAACUUUAUGAACAGUAAAAAAAAAAAAUUAUUAUUUUUUUUUAAAAGGUUGUAGACUUUGAGCAUGGACUAUAUUUUGAUAUUGUGUUGUUGCAGUUAUUAUUGAUAAAUGUAAUAUUUUGUAUUGGGAAUUUGGAAUUUAUUUGGGGGAAAGGGGAAUGAGUUGGCUCCUAUAAGUUUGUAAAAAGUUAAAUGCAUUUAAACGGUGUUCAAUGAUGGUUUACAUUGAAAUAAGUGGUAAAUUACAUUAUUAUGGGUAUCAUUGAUGACUUUGGAACAAACGCAAUCUUUAUGAUGUUUAGAUUGUAACUGUUUGAGAAUGGUUUACGUUGGAGAUGAUUUUGAGAAUGAUUAAGAAAAAUGAUUUUGAGAGAAUGGUUUUUUUAAACUGGAAAUGGUUUUGGAGAAAGUGACACGUUAGGAAUACUCGGGAUGAGAAAAUCGCACGGGCAGGCAGAUAACGAUCGGUUUGGAUUAGUGGGUUUUUGUCAAACCUUCGGUGAAGUCCGAGAAAUGAAUGAGAAGUAGGCCGGAUAUUAGGUAUGUAAACCUUCUGUAAAAGUACCGAUGAAGAAAAGAAUAGUCCUAGAUGGCAAAAUGCGCAUAUAGGGAAUGUCGCAUCCUUUCAGUGAAAGUAUCGUAGGAUGCGGCGUAUUGUGGAUAGAGAAUGUCGGACCAUUUCGGGUUGUGAUGAAAAUCCGAGGAAAGGAAUGCGACGGAAUGAAGGAUAAUGUCAAGCCACGGUGUGGAAUGAAAGUCCGGGGAAGCGGAAGUGACUAGAUGUGGUCUCAAUGGGGCUUAGCGCAUAACGAAGGUUUGGGAUGGUGGUAUUAGCCUAGGUGGUGUAAUUCCAAGUAUUGAAUAAUACCUUUUGGAAAAAUACAUAGAAUUGAGAAUUGAUAGAAUUCUAACGAAUAAGAAUGAGUGUUAUUGCGGUUUCGAAGAAAAAGCCCGAGGGUUAGUGAAAUUAUGUUAUUUGAAAAUCAUGAAUUGAUAUAGUUUGUUGUUAAAGGUGAUAAGGUUUUAGAGAAAAGACCGGAUGUUUUGUGAAAAUCACGGAUUGAAAAUCAAAAGGAUAUUUUGAUAUGAUUUGAAACAUAUUUUUGUUUGUUCGAUGUUUUCAUUGGAGUAGCUAUGUUCAUUGGGUUAUUUGGCUUGAGAUAUCAAGUCCAUUGUUAAAUCUUUCAAGGUAAUCCCUUUACUAAAAUGAAUUUCAGGGGUACAGAGGGUUAAUUCCUGAUGGUUAAGUGAUGCAUAGUGGAUUGCGUUACUUACUUCUCUUUGGUUUGGAAAAAAUGUAAAAGUAAUUUUUUUUAGAAAUUGUAAGUGUUUCUGUUGCCGGUAGUGGGCGUUUGUCCAUGAGACCCUUUGGAAUUUUGUAUUAAUUAGAUAGUUAUGGAGGGGAAUGGUCACCAGGGAAGGGAUUUCAUUUUAUAGUAUCUGAUGUAAAUGACAAGUAUAUAAUAUUUGUCAUGUUAUUAGUUUGAUUUCUCUCGCAUUUGGAGGUGUUGUGACUUACGUGUGGUCGGGUCUUGUUUGGCAGGGGCGUAGUGUACAACAUCUGGUUAAUCAGACAUUGUUAGGUUGAAUGUGACCUAUAUGAGCGGGGGUGGUUAAACGCUGUCGUUUGUUUCGGUGUCUAGUAUGGAGGAAUAACCGAGAGGAUUAUAUUUAAAAUUGAGGAUAAACAUGGACAUAAUCUAGGUUCGAAGACCUAUGAGUUGUAGAGGGUGCGUUGUAGCACCACGUUUGUUUGGGGUCUAAGCGUUGGAGGGUAAUAGUAAAGUGUGUUAUUAUUGAUAGAAUGACGGAAACAAGGGCAUGGGUAUACCGAUGGCAAGUUGUUCUUGAUUGCAGUGGUAUAACAAGUGUUAGUGUAUGGAAACUGAAGCAAUAAGUGAAGAUGAUUGGGAUGUUGAUUGUUUUUUGUGGGAUUGAUGUAUGAAAAGCACCGCAUCAUUGCGGGGAGGUCGUGCCAAGUAACUACAUAGGAGGUCGCGUUGGGGGCUCGUGCAGCACAGCAGGAGCCUCGGGAAACGUUACGAGGGGAUAAUGCAAUCACUACUGAGCGUGUGAUGGGAGGAGAGAAGAAGCCAAUAUUUCGGUGGAAACCGUUUGGGUGGGUUGGAAGGGGUUUGAACCACCACGGUGAUUAGUGGUACGGAGAUUUAUGCAGGGGUGUUCACCGCCAAUUGCACAAGUGGUGAAGGAACAUGGUGUUGCAGAAGAUAAUACUAGUUGCGGCUAGGUUAGAGCGGUGGAUACUAGAGGCCAGUAGGUGUGUUAGAGGGAAGGUAGUGUAGUGUGAUGAGACUAGGGAGGAUUUAAAACAUCAAAAUCUCAACGUGAAAGGUACUAUGUGCACAUGUUGAGGGCACUUUUUUGAAGGAAAAAUCGAAAGAUGUUCUUAUAUCAUGCUGACCAGACAUCUCGGGAAGGGUGGGCGCUGAGGGAGGGUCGAUUUGUGUUGGUUUGUCACAGACGGGACAGCCGGUUUGCGUGGCUAUGCCCACGUGAAUGUGGUCAGCAUGGGCAAGUCGUUAUAAGGGUGAUACUCCCGUGGGGGCGAAGUGGAGCAUUGGAGACAGUCACAAGUUAGAGAUGACCACAUCUUGUUUCAGUUGUAGUCAAGUUGGUCACAUUGCGCGAACAGUGCACUAUCAGAGAGGAACACUCAGGGGGAGCUUUUGGGCAGAAGGGUCAGAGGAACUCAGGGACGGGCUUACGCUAGAGAUUAGCAGGCUGCGGGGACCGUCAGAGACAGCAGGACAAGCAGGAUAAAAGAAAGUUGGAUGCCUCUAUUGUACGAGGUUACUUCCUACAUUUAAAUUUAGGACUCGAGAUUGAUAGAGAAUAUUCUAAAAUGUUGAAUUAUUUAGGAUAAGUAAAUGUUAUAUGUGAAGUUAGCGAGAUCAUAGGGAAUUAAACUUGGGCUGUUCCUAAGGUAUCAAUAAGGAGACAUCAGUGAGUGGGUAUGUUAGAUAUGUGGACAGGUAGAAAGGUAGAACUAAUUGUUUAAUUAGUAUUGCCAUCAUAGGAUAUGACUCUAAUGGUUGAAGUUCUUGAUAGGUUUGAUUUGUUCUAUGUGGAUAACUUUGUCCUUUGCUCAUCAAUUAUAAGACAAAAUAAUUAGUUCGAAACCAAAUUUGAAGUUGAGGACAAAGUGAAUGUGUAUGUUAGACUAAUACAGAAUGAUUUGUAAAGUGAAUCUAGUGGACUAACUUGAUCAUUAUUUUUUGGGGGAGGAGAAGGUGGGGAUUGAUUUUUUUUGUUGAAAUGCUGGAUGGUGGGAAGUAAAAUUAAUUUUAGGUGAAGGAUUUCUGCCCUUUGGUGUAGAUCUAAGAUUUUAAAAUUUUUGAUGUGUAACUGAGUUUAUUCAAUAGAACCCCUAAUUGACUCCAUUUAGUUUGAUGGAUUGUGAUUUGAUUCAAAUGUUGGGAAAAGAAUAGCUAUUGGUGUUGACUAGUGUGGUAUUGAAGAUGAUUAUGAUGAUAUAAUUGGUAAGAUAGAGAUUUGGUGGGAUAAUAGGAGACUAAUACUAAGAAAGGUAUGUAGAAAUAAGUACUGAGUACAAGAAGUGUCGAGAACAUUUGAGGAUUGUGAUGUAAACUCCAAAUUAGAUUAAUUGGUUGCAUGUUAAGUAUGGAGGGUUUGUGAGAGCUUUUUGAUAAACUUGUGAACUAAUCCUGAUUGUAGUUGAUACUUGUUUAAUGUAUUGGUUUUACCCUUGAGGAGUUGGAAAAGAAUGUAAGUAAAGUUAUUGUUAUGAUGUUGUGAUAAUAUUGAAAAAGUAUGUUGAAGUGGUGAUUAAAAUGUAAAUUAUAGUUUCUAAUUGAUGUCAUUUUUUUUUAUGCUGGGAGUUUAGAACCGAAUAUGGCUAGUUUCUUUACGCUUGGAAAAAUAUUGUUGGGAAUACAUAUAAGGAGUUUUAUUUUUGAAGAAAAUAGAUUUGAAGUAUUUGAAUGUUGAUGAUCUGUUGGGAAUUGAUUUUGUUUGUUUACGAAGUUAGACGGCAUGAUGGUAAGUGAAAUGUUACACCUUAUGUGGUUGGGGUGAAUUGAGUGAUUGAAGAUGUGAUAUUUGGGGUGAAAAUUUGAAGUGUGAUGGGAGUUUUUUGAUGGCGUUUUAAGUUUGACUUUAUCGUGUUAGACAUGACUGGUUUUGAUGUGAUGAAAUUGGUGGAUUGGAUUGAAAUGUUAGUUUCGAUCAUCGUAGUAAAAAGAGUGAUUAAAUGUUUUGUUUAUCGAGUUGUUACUACGUUAGGAUUUCAUGUCAUUGUUUUUAAAUAAAAUGUUGAGAACUCUAUAAGUGUAUAUUGCGUGAUCUUUAGUCACAGUAAUAGUUUGAGUUUAUCUUUUAACAGUUGUUAGCCCUAUAUAGACAAAGAGGAAUAUAAAAUGUAGUGUUGUCGUUUGGAGACUUUACUUACUAUGUUGGUAGAUUGUCGUUACUUUGGCAGAUUGGGGAAUAGAGUUCGCUAGUUCUUCUUUUUAGUAUGGGUUGUUUAUAACACCUUAAUGGUUUUGCACUACCUACGUUAUAAUUGAUGCGAUUAGCCACUUUUCGAUUUGAUUUAUAGGAUGUUGUGUAAUGGAUGGAGAAUCGGAGGUGAAAUUACAAUUUGUGGAGUGAUGUCGGCAAGUUUUUUGGGUAAUGACAUUUUGGGCCAUCAUUUUUGUGUAUAAAGGAUUCAAGAAGACGUAUCAUGAAUUGUGUCGCCAAUUUUUGUGGAGGCGAAUGAAGAAAGAUGUGUUGUCUUUUUCGUUUAGAAGUGUUUGACUUGUCAACAAGUAAAAAUCGAACACCCGAGACUAGCGAGUUUGUUACAACCAUUCUGGUUGCAAGUGAAUGGAGCAUAUCAUAUGGAUUUCGUUACGGUUGUGCCUAGGUCCUUGGGGGGCAUAGAGUUGGGUUGUGUCAAUCGUUUGACUAAAUUCGCCUACAUUAUCUUCAUAUCCAACUGUCAAAUUCGGCAAGGAUCUUAUGUUCCUUAAGAUUCGGGAGAUCGUUGACUUCAUGGGGUUUUCGGUAUCUAUCGUUUUUGAUAGAGAGUCCGUGUUUUUUACAUUACUCUUUUGAAAGGAAUGCAAAUCCGCUCUUGGAUCAUCUUUGAGGUUUAGGCCACGUCGUUUCAAAAUCCUUAGACCGACGAGCACAUACUAUUCAGAUUUGGAGACAUACUCUUCGGGCAUGCUUACUUAAUUGUGGGAUCGUGGAGAAUCACCUACACUUGUGGAGUUCGCGUGUAACACCAUCGGUUAUCAAUCAGCAUUGGAAUACACCUUUUGAGGCGUAUAAUGAUAGACCAUGUAGGUUACCGAGUGUUAAGACUAACGUUGGAGAGGUUUACGUUGUAAUGCCACAGAGUUUGGAAGGUUCGCGUAAGGUAUCCAGAUCUGUUUACUCAUCUGGUAAGUUUAUCUAAUUUCCGAGGACGAAAGUUCUUUAAAGUGGGGGGGUUGUAAGGGUUCAAAAUUUUUUUUUAGAUAAUUAUAAUUAAUGUGUGAGGUCACACGCCACGUAUAUAUGUGUGUGUAUAUAUAUACACACAUAUAUCGUUAUGGUUUUAGUAUAAUUUGGCCCCAUUUAAAUUUAUGGGUCCAAAUGGGAUUUAAGUGGAUUUGAAUUGGGUUUGAAAGAAAUGUGUGAGAAAAAAUGGGCCAAAUGAUUGGACGCCAAGAUUGGUUGUGGUUUGGGUUUUGUUGGUUGGCAAACAAAGUCCCAAGGCCUAAGGAGGGCAUUUAAUGUCUUUUCUCACUUUUGACCCUAAACAUCAAUUAAUGUUAGCAGUUAUUUUAUUUUUUGGGCUCUUCUCUUCCUUUCUUCUCUUUCUAAAGUUUGAAGCCAAGAGGGUUUUGGCAUGAAGCUUAAUUAGGGUGAGUGAGGUGUGAUUUGAGUAGUGAUUCUGAGAGAAAUUUUCACUCGACAGGGGCUUCGAUUUGAGCCACGGAAAGUUUGAAAUGGAAGCUAGUAGAGUGUUGAGGCUUAUCUCAUCUCUUCACCAUUUUUAGAGUUUGCAUUGCUUGGAUUUGAGUAAAUGGGUUUUCCUGUGGGGUGCCUCUUGGGUUUGUUGUAAAGAUUCUAUGAAGUCUAUUAAUAUAUUUAUUUUGGGUAUAGAAUCCUAAAUGAGAAACUUGGUUUGAUUGAAAAGUUGGAGUUCGUGGUCCUUGGUGUCGACACUUUAAAGGUGAAGUGAGAAAAUUUGGCUACUGAUAUUUCGGUUGUAAAAUUGGCGUUUUGGCUACUGGACAUUUGGUGUUGACAAAUGGGUCGACACCUUUUGACCAGGAAAUUCAAAAAUUUUGGCUACUGACAUUUAGUGUCGACCACCCAAAUUUCAGGUGUCGACACCUAAAAUUUUUUUAACAGAUAAAAAAAUAAAAAAAAUAAAACAAUUAUUAUUAUUUUUUUAAAAUGGUUUCACUUCGAGCAUGAUAUAUUGUGUAUAUUUUAUUGUUGCAUUAUUCUUGAUAAAUGUAAUAUUGUAUGUGGAAUUUGGAAUUUAUUUGACAGGAAGGAGUAGUAAAUGGCUAAAGGUGUUUUUAAAAGUAAAUGCAUUAAAUGGGUUCAAGAUGGUUUUAUAUUGAUGAAUUGGUAUUGCAUAUUAUUUUGAUUCAUUGGUGACUUUGGACAAACGCAAUCUUUAUGAAGUGAGAUUUGUAAAAUGGUUUUGAGAAUGGGGUACGUGGAAAUGAUUUUUAGAACGAUUAAGGGAAAUGGAGUUGAGAAUGGUUUAACGAGGAAAUGGUUUUUGAGAGGACCGCUGGAUUAUACCGGAAAAAAAACCGCACGAGAGGCCCAGAUAAUGUUGUGGGAUAAUGGGUUUGUCAAACCUCGGUGAAAGUCCGAGAAGUAGGCUGGAUAUUGGGUAUGUAAAACCUUCGUGGAAAGUCCGAGAAGAAAGUGCUAGAUGGCAAAUGCGCAAUAUGGGAAUGUUGACCCUUUCGGUGAAAGUCGAGGGAAUGCGAGGAAUGAGGGAAUGUCAUAGCCCACGGUUGAAAGUCAGGCGAAGUGACUAGAUGUUGUCUCAAAAUGCUUAAGCAUAACCGGUGGGAUAGGUAUUAGCCUAGGUGUGUCAUUCCAAGCUAUUGAAUAAUUACCUUUUGGAAAAAUACAUAAGUUGGAAUUUGAUAAAUUCUAAGAUGAGAUUAUUGUUUUUCGAGAAAAGCCUGAGGGUUAGUGAAAUAUUAAUUUGAAAAUCAGAUUUGAAUAGUUUGUUGUUUAAAGUGAUAAAAAGGUUUUUAGAGAAAAGCCGGAUGUUUGUGAAAAAUCACAGAUUGAAAAAUCAAAAGUAUAUUGUGAUAUGAAUGAAAACAUAUUUUGUGUAUCAUGUUUUCAUUGUGUAGCUAUGUAUCAUGGUUUUGGCUUGAGUAUCAAGUACAUGUUAAAUUUUUCAAGGUACUCACCUUUACUAAAAUAAUUUCAGGUACCAAGGGUUAUCCUGAUCGUGAGGCAUGUGAAUUGCCGUUUACUUCUAUUUUGUUGGAAACAUGUAAAAGUAUUUUUUAGAAAUUGUAAUUUUUCUUUUGGCCCAGUGUGGGCGUUGUCCAUGAGACAUCAUUUUGUAUUUUGUAUUUUGUAUUAGAUAGCUUAUGGAGGGCAUGGUCCCACGGGAGGGAUUCAUUUUAUAGUACUUUGAUGUAAUGACAAGUAUAUACUUGUCAUGUUAUUUAGUUUGACUUUUCCGCAUUUGAGUUGUUUGCUUACGUGGCCGGGUCUUGGUUUGACCAGGGCGUGACACUUAUAAACUAUGAAUAUAAUGAACUUGUGUUGUUUUGUUUGGCA